AUGUUCAUAGAAAGGAGAGAUGGUUGGCAUCUCCCCUGACAGGGACGGGAACUUCAGGCUUACCUGUUACCACACAUACGUUUAAGGCUCCCCACCUUCUAUGGUGGAUUUUAUACCCAAUUUUUA